AACCUCCGCAAUGUGAGAAAUCGCGACGGGGGGAUCCCAAGUGCCAUUCUUAACGGGAUGGCUUUUCUUAAGUGUAAAAAGCUUUUGGAAUAAGAGCUGGGCAAGACCGGUGCCAGCCGCCGCGGUAACACCGGCAGCUCUAGUGGUAGCUGUUUUUAUUGGGCCUAAAGCGUUCGUAGCCGGUUUGAUAAGUCACUGGUGAAAUCCUGUAGCUUAACUGUGGGAAUUGCUGGUGAUACUGUUGAACUUGAGGUCGGGAGAGGUUAGCGGUACUCCCAGGGUAGAGGUGAAAUUCUGUAAUCCUGGGAGGACCGCCUGUUGCGAAGGCGUCUAACUGGAACGAUUCUGACGGUGAGGGACGAAAGUUAGGGGCGCGAACCGGAUUAGAUACCCGGGUAGUCCUAACCGUAAACGAUGCGGACUUGGUGUUGGGGUGGCUUUGAGCUGCUCCAGUGCCGAAGGGAAGCUGUUAAGUCCGCCGCCUGGGAAGUACGGUCGCAAGACUGAAACUUAAAGGAAUU
rnacentral:rRNA from 1 species